GGUCUCAGUGGUUAGAGCAUCUGCUUGGAAUGCAGAAGGCCCCAGGUUCAAUUUCCAGGGACA
rnacentral:tRNA from 1 species